AGAGUUUGAUCCUGGCUCAGAACGAACGCUGGCGGCGCGUCUUAAGCAUGCAAGUCGAACGGCAAGAGAGAAGCUUGCUUCUCUCCUAGAGUGGCGGACUGGUGAGGAACACGUGGGUAAUCUACCCUUAAGAUGGGGAUAGCUGUUAGAAAUAGCAGGUAAUACCGAAUACACUCGAUAGUUCAUAAGAAGUAUUGAGGAAAGGAAGCUACGGCUUCGCUUGAGGAUGAGCUUGCGUCCCAUUAGCUAGUUGGUGAGGUAACGGCCCACCAAGGCGACGAUGGGUAUCCGGCCUGAGAGGGUGAACGGACACAUUGGGACUGAGAUACGGCCCAAACUCCUACGGGAGGCAGCAGCUAAGAAUAUUCCGCAAUGGACGGAAGUCUGACGGAGCGACGCCGCGUGGAUGAAGAAGGCUGAAAAGUUGUAAAAUCCUUUUGUUGAUGAAGAAUAAGGGGAAGAGGGAAUGCUUCUCUGAUGACGGUAGUCGGCGAAUAAGCCCCGGCUAAUUACGUGCCAGCAGCCGCGGUAACACGUAAGGGGCGAGCGUUGUUCGGAAUUAUUGGGCGUAAAGGGCAUGUAGGCGGUUAUGUAAGCCUGAUGUGAAAUCCUGGGGCUUAACCCCAGAAUAGCAUUGGGUACUGUGUAACUUGAAUUACGGAAGGGAAACUGGAAUUCCAAGUGUAGGGGUGGAAUCUGUAGAUAUUUGGAAGAACACCGGUGGCGAAGGCGGGUUUCUGGCCGAUAAUUGACGCUGAGAUGCGAAAGUGUGGGGAUCGAACAGGAUUAGAUACCCUGGUAGUCCACACCGUAAACGAUGUACACUAGGUGUUGGGGCAAGAGCUUCAGUGCCAAAGCAAACGCGAUAAGUGUACCGCCUGGGGAGUAUGCCCGCAAGGGUGAAACUCAAAGGAAUUGACGGGGGCCCGCACAAGCGGUGGAGCAUGUGGUUUAAUUCGAAGCAACGCGAAGAACCUUA
rnacentral:rRNA from 1 species